AGACGGGGUGCCCGGUGCGCAGGCAACGGUUACUUCGACUGUUCAUCGAGAGGUCGUGGGUUCGAGUCCCACCGUCCCGUCUCCCA
rnacentral:tRNA from 1 species